GAAAGAAACCCCACCCAAACAAAAGAAUCUUUUAGACAUUCAAAUGUAUUUUUAACAUUUUAUUCACAAUAUAUAACAUUCAAUAUGUAGUACAACCUCACUGUGUAAUAAGAAAAAUGAUUCACAAAAUUACCUUCAAAUACAACAUGAAGAAUGUGUAAUAAAAAAUCCACCAAUGAAAUUGUAUUACAUCUGUGAGAUGUGUUUAAAUGAGAAGACAAAAGUAUUCUUUAUAAUAUAAUUCAUUCUAUGACUGUAUUUAUAAUUACAAUGCAAAUAUCAAGGCAAUUCAUUUUCUUCAUCUGACAGGGGUAAAACCUGCAAAAGUGGGUUUAAAUUUGUACAAGAUAGCUUAUAUGAUUAUCAAACAUGUGUGAGCAUUUAUCUGAGUAAUAAUUAUCUUUCAUCUCAUUCGAAAACCAUUUCUGUAUUUUUACCAUUCACGUUACAAAGGCAGCUUUAAUUGAAUAAUAAAAAUAAUAACCAGGAUUUAGCCUGUUCUCCAUAGAGCACUGUAAUAUCACAGCAAUUAUGAAACCAAUGUGUCCAUGCAAGAAUGCACUUAACAGUACACCACACUUCAUGUGCAAAAUCACCCUUAGCAGCAGGUAUUGGUGCAUUGCAUAAGGGCUUUUCAUGGUGCACGAAAAUAUGUUUUGCCAAGUGUGUUCUUGCACCGAAACAACAAAACAAAUAGCAAUGAGUCGAAGAAAUGGAAUAAAUUAACAUGUACAUCAAUAACACAAAAUCACUUCAAUUCAAAUGUGUUUUGUAAAGCAAAUAGAGUACCUGUAUAUAGCAUUGAAUUAGUUUCUACAAAAUGAAAGAAAAUCUAUCUUCCAUAUAAAAUUAAAUCAUUUAGGAAGGCACCUUUUCAUGUUUAGAAAUAGAAGUAAUUAAGUUAUCAGAAAUUAACAACAUUCCUGUAUUGCCCCCCCCCCUGACUGAAAAUUUAGACUUCAGAAUAGAAUAUGAUGGAUUAUUAAUAAAUAAUGAAUUUCAAUCUUUCUUUUACAACAUAUAAUAGAACAGCUUGAAUAACUUUUUUUUUCUGAACAUCUAUGACUGACACAGACAAUCAACAUUCCAAUCAUCUGCAUAAUUACAAAUCGUCUUAAAACCUGUGAUCACAAAAUAGUCCAAGUUCAAAAAAUACUUUAAAAACAUCAAAAUGUACAUAAUAUCUAACAUUCCACAUACAUGUACUAUACUUAAUUUGACAAGAUAUGAUCAGAUUCUUCAUAGAAGUUUCAUUUCAUUUCAUAUUUUUUGGGGACAUAAUUUUGUAACAGCAAUCAUUAUCACCCACUUGUCAAGACUCAUUGGCCCGAAUUCACAAAAGUGAUGUGAUAUACACGUUAUUCCAAGUCAUGGGUGCUGAAAAAAAAAAUGUGAUUUGAGAAAACUACUAUGAAAGAGAGAAC